rnacentral:rRNA from 1 species
UACGUAGGGUGCAAGCGUUAUCCGGGAAUUAUUGGGCGUAAAGAGCUCGUAGGCGGUUUGUCGCAUCUGCUGUGAAAACUGGAGGCUCAACCUCCAGCCUGCAGUGGGUACGGGCAAACUAGAGUGCGGUAGGGGGAGAUUGGAAUUCCUGGUGUAGCGGUGGAAUGCGCAGAUAUCAGGAGGAACACCGAUGGCGAAGGCAGAUCUCUGGGCCUAACUGACGCUGAGGAGCGAAAGCAUGGGGGAGCGAACAGG